rnacentral:rRNA from 1 species
AGUGAACGCUGGCGGCGUGCUUAACACAUGCAAGUCGAACGAGAACGGGCUAUAGCUUGCUAUAGUUGUCAGCUAAGUGGCGCACGGGUGAGUAAUGUAUAGGUAAUAUGCCUCUUACUAAGGGAUAACAAAUGGAAACGUUUGCUAAUACCUUAUACUCCUUAUUAACAGAAGUUAAUAAGAGAAAGAUUUAUUGGUAAGAGAUUAGCCUGUAUUGUAUCAGUUAGUUGGUGGGGUAAUGGCUUACCAAGACUAUGACACAUAACUGGUUUGAGAGGAUGAUCAGUCACACUGGAACUGAGACACGGUCCAGACUCCUACGGGAGGCAGCAGUGGGGAAUAUUGCACAAUGGACGAAAGUCUGAUGCAGCAACGCCGCGUGGAGGAUGACACAUUUCGGUGCGUAAACUCCUUUUAUAUGAGAAGAUAAUGACGGUAUUAUGUGAAUAAGCACCGGCUAACUCCGUGCCAGCAGCCGCCGUAA